CCUACGGGAGGCAGCAGUAGGGAAUCUUGCUCAAUGGGGGAAACCCUGAAGCAGCAACGCCGCGUGGAGGAUGAAGGUUUUCGGAUUGUAAACUCCUUUUGUUAGAGAAGAUAAUGACGGUAUCUAACGAAUAAGCACCGGCUAACUCCGUGCCAGCAGCCGCGGUAAUACGGAGGGUGCAAGCGUUACUCGGAAUCACUGGGCGGAAAGAGCGCGUAGGCGGGAUAGCAAGUCAGAUGUGAAAUCCUAUGGCUUAACCAUAGAACUGCAUUUGAAACUGUUAUUCUAGAGUAUGGGAGAGGUAGGUGGAAUUCUUGGUGUAGGGGUAAAAUCCGUAGAGAUCAAGAGGAAUACUCAGUGCGAAGGCGACCUGCUAGAACAUAACUGACGCUGAUGCGCGAAAGCGUGGGGAGCAAACAGGAUUAGAUACCCCAGUAGUC
rnacentral:rRNA from 1 species